ensembl:lncRNA
CAGUGUAUAGAGUGCCAGGCCUGGAGUCAGAAAGACUCAUCUUCCUGAGUUCAAAUCUAGUCUUAGAAACUUACUAGUUGUGUGCCUCUGGGCAAGUCACUUAACCCUAUUUGACUCAGUUUCCUCAUCUGUAAAAUGAACUGGAGAAGGAAAUAACAAAUCACUGCAAUAUCUUUUCCAAGAAAACUCCCAAGUGGGGUCAUAAAGAAUUGGGCACAACUGAAACGACUGAAUAACAAGAAGAUAUACACAGAGUAAAAGGUAAUCCGAAAGGGAAAUUUUCACUAGUGUUGUUGCCUAUAUUUUUUUCCCUAAGCACCAAAGUCUAGGCAAUCUGAUAAAACCAUGCUAAGGUGAGAUUUAAUAAAAGCAUCUCUAGGUAAAUAGGUGAAGAUAAAUAAUGGUCUCCCAAUAGUAGCCUUCUGUAAACAAUGUAGCCGUACUACCCUUGGCUCCAAUGGAAGGAAUUGGAAGUGGCUCCAAUGGAAGGAAUUUCAAAACAAUUAGGAGGUGAACUAGAGAGAGACAAAGGUUUCCUUCAGGCCCUUGGAGUUAAGAGUAAAUGGCUGAGAAGACAGUGAGAAUAAGGAAUCUAUCUUCCAGGAAAUGAUAUCAGGAAAUGAUUCCCAAGGCCCUGAGGAGGAAAAUAGAGUUCAAGGCUUAGUAUUAUUAUCAGUGACCAACUGGGAUGAAAGAAGGCUCACUGGGCAAAGCCAAAUUUCUUCUGGGAGGAGAGAAAGACCCUCCAGUCAUGAGAAGGCCUUCAUAAGUGCCUCUGGAAUGCUUUUGUGUAACUUCAUGAAGGAAAUCUCUUUAGCGAAUCUCCAUAGCCGUGUUUCACCCUGUGAACAGCUAAGAGAGCAGCAGAUACUCAGCCAGAGUGGAGGAAGGGGAGUAGAAGAAAAAGAGGAGGAAUACGCCCAGAGGAUAAGGGAUACAAGUUUGGUUUUUUCCCUUUCCUUCUUUGUUGUAGUCAAACCUCAUGCUGACCUGGACUAGUAGAGUAUCCCUCUUUCUGAACUUCUUGGCUCAAGAACAUGAAUAGAGAGAAAAAAAUGCACCAUAAUACAAUCAUGCUCAUGAAUGUCAAUCAGCUCAUCCUCAAAAACUUUGUGAAGGGGGGGGAAGUCUCUCUGAAUUUACUUAAAAGGGCAAAACAAUAAAAAGGAGCUGCUGCCAACUUGGCUAGCUGGUUUUCUCUGCAUCAUGUUUCAGGGCUCAAACAGCUCUGAGGAGACCAUAAUCACUUAGUCCCAGCUUCUGGCAGCAUUCCUUCUCAAACGCCAAGCCUGAGGAAGUAUACUGCUGAAUUAUUGAGCCAGAAAAUAUUAGUGUUGGAGGGGUCCAUCCAGCCCUACACCCUCAUUUUAUAGAAGCAAGCCCCGAGACCCAAAGAAAUUAAGACUUUGCCCACGAUCCUCAAGCUAGUCAGUGGUGGGACUGGGCCUAAUACUGAGGGAUGCAAAGAGGGUAGCAUUUGCUGUGGGCAUAGGAAAAAAGGCUUCAUUCCACCAGUAAGCCAGCCAAAGUAAGCAGAAGGCCAAAUUAGACCCUGCACACCAGGCACGAGGAGGAACCGAUAAUUUAAAGCAAGGCAUGGAGAUGGAGUGAUGUGAACUCCCAAGUUAUUGAUGGUCAAAGUGAAGAGUGAGAAGAGUGAGUUGUUCUCUCCUCUGCCCAGAAGGAAGAGGGAAAGAACCGAGACUCAGCCAUCAAUUCUGUUAGGGAUGUAAAAUAAUACCAAGACUGGAGACUGGUUAGCCAGAAAUAUUCCCGCUAUCCUUUCAGGCUCCCACAUGCUCAGACCCAAAGCUAAAAAGUCUUCAUGACAGAAACUAAAACAAAUAUUACAAAGUCUUCUGGGAGAGCUAUUUUCUUUGAACAAAUGUGGGCUGCUUGAGAUUACAUCUAGGUGGCAGGAGAAGCCUUUGGGGUUUGUGGGGAUCUGUAUAUGGGGAGCAUGUGCAUAUGUACCUAGGCACACGUGCAAGAAUAUAUUGGUAAGGGCAGGGAGAGAGUGUUAUAAAAAGGCUGCCACAAAGUAAACACUAAGUUUUCUUGGUAUCUCUUCUUGACAUCUAAGUGUUGAACAGGAAAGCACCACAUGGGCUAGCCAACAGCAUGAAGCCUUCGUUUCCAAAGGAUUUGUUCCAGCUGGUCAGUGACUGGCCUCUCUUCCAGGACUGGUUGGAAACAAGAGGGGGAUUUCAAAAGGCCCAGUGAAAAGAAUUCAGAGGACAUGCCAUUAUUAAUGUUCCUGGUUAGGGAUGCUUAAUGCAAAUUUACUCCCAAAAGACUAUUCUACCUUUUCCACUCAAGGCCAAGUUCAAAAUGACAUGUUCUCUUUACUAUGAGCUGAAGGUGAAAGGAUAAUUUUUGAACAGAAGGGAAAAUGCUUUUUCUGAUACCAAGCCCUAGAGUGAUGAUAUAAGAGGUGGAAGACCUUAUUCAAUUUUUACUCUCUGAUGUCUGGGUUAAGCAUUUAACCUCCCACUGUCUCAUUUGUGUUCUUGAUAAAAAUAAAAGUCUUAGAUCUGGAGGUUGAUCUGUAUAGCAGGCAAAGGGGGAUUAAAGUCAUCUAAUAGAGUCUCAUUCUAUCUCCAUGCCCCAGGAGAGUUUUCCACUGCUGUGCAUGUCAGUCAAACUAUCUCACUGCAGUAACUAUUAACAGUAUUCCCCAGACACAAUAGGAGCAAAGGAAACUGUCCACUCACGUUGCAAAUCCUAGGCCAAAGUAAAGGUCUUUUGGCAGGACAGCAUUAUAUGACAUGGCUUAAAGAUUCCCUUCUAGGUCCAUGAUUUUAAAUAGACAUAAAAAGCC